UACGUAGGGUGCGAGCGUUAAUCGGAAUUACUGGGCGUAAAGCGUGCGCAGGCGGUUUUGUAAGCCAGAUGUGAAAGCCCCGGGCUUAACCUGGGAAUGGCAUUUGGGACUGCAAGGCUUGAGUGCGGCAGAGGAGACUGGAAUUCCUGGUGUAGCAGUGAAAUGCGUAGAUAUCAGGAGGAACACCCGUAGCGAAGGCGGCACUCUGGGCCGAUACUGACACUGAGGAGCGAAAGCGUGGGGAGCGAACAGG
rnacentral:rRNA from 1 species